AUUGAACGCUGGCGGCAGGCUUAACACAUGCAAGUCGAGCGGAGAUGAGGUGCUUGCACCUUAUCUUAGCGGCGGACGGGUGAGUAAUGCUUAGGAAUCUGCCUAUUAGUGGGGGACAACAUUCCGAAAGGAAUGCUAAUACCGCAUACGUCCUACGGGAGAAAGCAGGGGAUCUUCGGACCUUGCGCUAAUAGAUGAGCCUAAGUCGGAUUAGCUAGUUGGUGGGGUAAGGGCGUACCAAGGCGACGAUCUGUAGCGGGUCGGAGAGGAUGAUCCGCCACACUGGGACUGAGACACGGCCCAGACUCCUACGGGAGGCAGCAGUGGGGAAUAUUGGACAAUGGGGGGAACCCUGAUCCAGCCAUGCCGCGUGUGUGAAGAAGGCCUUAUGGUUGUAAAGCACUUUAAGCGAGGAGGAGGCUACUGAGACUAAUACUCUUGGAUAGUGGACGUUACUCGCAGAAUAAGCACCGGCUAACUCUGUGCCAGCCGCCGCAGUAAUAC
rnacentral:rRNA from 1 species